CGGUAAUGAUGUAAUUCCACUUCAUGGUCCGUGUUUCUGAAAUAAACAUGAUUUUGUGGAAGUUCUGAUUCC
ensembl:snoRNA SNORD18 Small nucleolar RNA SNORD18